UACGUAGGGCGCAAGCGUUGUCCGGAAUUACUGGGCGUAAAGCGCACGUAGGCGGGUUGUUAAGUCGGGGGUGAAAUCCUGGAGCUCAACUCCAGAACUGCCUUCGAUACUGGCGACCUUGAGUCCGGGAGAGGUGAGUGGAACUCCGAGUGUAGAGGUGAAAUUCGUAGAUAUUCGGAAGAACACCAGUGGCGAAGGCGACUCACUGGACAUGUAUUGACGCUGAGGUACGAAAGCGUGGGGAGCAAACAGGAUUGAGAAAC
rnacentral:rRNA from 1 species